GAUGAACGCUGGCGGCGUGCCUAAUACAUGCAAGUCGAGCGAACGGACGAGAAGCUUGCUCCUCUGAUGUUAGCGGCGGACGGGUGAGUAACACGUGGAUAACCUACCUAUAAGACUGGGAUAACUUCGGGAAACCGGAGCUAAUACCGGAUAAUAUUUUGAACCGCAUGGUUCAAAAGUGAAAGACGGUCUUGCUGUCACUUAUAGAUGGAUCCGCGCUGCAUUAGCUAGUUGGUAAGGUAACGGCUUACCAAGGCAACGAUGCAUAGCCGACCUGAGAGGGUGAUCGGCCACACUGGAACUGAGACACGGUCCAGACUCCUACGGGAGGCAGCAGUAGGGAAUCUUCCGCAAUGGGCGAAAGCUUGACGGAGCAACGCCGCGUGAGUGAUGAAGGUCUUCGGAUCGUAAAACUCUGUUAUUAGGGAAGAACAAAUGUGUAAGUAACUGUGCACAUCUUGACGGUACCUAAUCAGAAAGCCACGGCUAACUACGUG
rnacentral:rRNA from 1 species